UCGAGAAUUUUUCACCAUGGGCGAAAGCCUGAUGGAGCGACGCCGCGUGGGGGGUGAACGGCUUCGGCCCGUAAACCCCUGUCAUUCGCGAGCAAACGUUAUUAUUUAAAAGAUGAUAGCCUGAUAGUAGCGAAAGAGGAAGGGACGGCUAACUCUGUGCCAGCAGCCGCGGUAAUACAGAGGUCCCAAGCGUUGUUCGGAUUUACUGGGCGUAAAGGGUGCGUAGGUGGUGGGGUAAGUCGGAUGUGAAAUCUCCGAGCUCAACUCGGAAAGUGCAUUGGAAACUACCCUGCUCGAGGGUUGGAGGGGGGACUGGAAUACUUGGUGUAGCAGUGAAAUGCGUAGAUAUCAAGUGGAACACCAGUGGCGAAGGCGAGUCCCUGGACAACUCCUGACACUGAGGCACGAAAGCUAGGGGAGCAAACAG
rnacentral:rRNA from 1 species